GGGCUCAUGGUGUAGUGGUAUCACGUCUGCUUCGCAUGCAGAAGGCCCUGGGUUCAAAUCCCAGUGGGUCCA
rnacentral:tRNA from 1 species